CGUAAGUUUCAGGGAAGGUGAAAAUCCUUACUGGCGGUAAACGCCCGGCCGACCUCAUAACGGCCCCACGCGCAAGCCCGCGACCCGCGAAAGCGGCUGAUCCGGUGAGAAUCCGGGGCCAACGGUUACAGUCCGGAUGGAAGAAACGGAGC
rnacentral:ncRNA from 2 species